AGCAGCCGCGGUAAUUCCAGCUCCAAUAGCGUAUAUUAAAGUUGUUGCAGUUAAAAAGCUCGUAAGUUGAAUUUCGGGAUCAAUAUAUUGGUCGUGCCUCCGGUACGUACUGGUAUCGUUGAUUUCUACCUUCUGACGAACCAUGAUGUCAUUAAUUUGGUGUCAUGGGAAAUCAGGACUGUUACUUUGAAAAAAUUAGAGUGUUUAAAGCAGGCACACGCUUGAAUACAUUAGCAUGGAAUAAUGAAAUAGGACGUUUGACCCUAUUUUGUUGGUUUCUAGGAUCGACGUAAUGAUUAAUAGGGAUAGUUGGGGGCAUUAGUAUUCAAUUGUCAGAGGUGAAAUUCUUGGAUUUAUUGAAGACUAACUACUGCGAAAGCAAUUUGCCAAGGAUGUUUUCAUUAAUCAAGAACGAAAGUUAGGGGAUCGAAGACGAUCAGAUACCGUCGUAGUCUUAACCAUAAACUAUGCCGAUAGGGAUCGGAUGAUGUUAAUUUUUAAUGUAACUCAUUCGGCGUCC
rnacentral:rRNA from 1 species